UGGUGAUGAUUGGGCGGGGGAAUGAAUAGAUGGAAGGGCAGUUUGGUAAUUGAGGGACGCUCCUUUUUGAGAUAUUUAUUUAUUUCGUCGGCGAAGGGCCGGAUAAUACCCUUUCGCCUUGGCGUCCCGUCCCCUCUCUUACUCUCGGGGUGUUCGCGGAGGGAAAGUAAAAGGAGGUCACGCGUGAGCUCCUGCAAUCGCCGAAGCGAAGCUCCUCCCAUUCCCAAACACUAGCCCUAGAAAAAGGCGAUAAAAAGGGGGAGGAAGCGAGAGAGAUCUGAGGN
rnacentral:lncRNA from 1 species